UACAGAGGCCUCGAGCGUUAGGCGGAAUCACUGGGCUUAAAGCGUGUGUAGGCGGACUUCUAAGUACCUUGUGAAAUCCCACAGCUUAACUGUGGAACUGCUUGGUAUACUGGUUGUCUUGAGGUACCUAGGGGCGAGCGGAACAAGUGGUGGAGCGGUGAAAUGCGCAGAUAUCAGGAGGAACACCGGUGGCGAAGGCGGGUCUCUGGGCCGUAACUGACGCUGAGGAGCGAAAGCAUGGGGGAGCGAACAGG
rnacentral:rRNA from 1 species